rnacentral:rRNA from 1 species
UACGUAGGGUGCAAGCGUUAAUCGGAAUUACUGGGCGUAAAGCGUGCGCAGGCGGUUGUGCAAGACCGAUGUGAAAUCCCCGGGCUUAACCUGGGAAUGGCAUUGGUGACUGCACGGCUAGAGUGUGUCAGAGGGGGGUAGAAUUCCACGUGUGAGCAGUGAAAUGCGUAGAGAUGUGGAGGAAUACCGAUGGCGAAGGCAGCCCCCUGGGGAUAACACUGACGCUCAUGCACGAAAGCGUGGGGAGCAAACAGG